rnacentral:rRNA from 1 species
CCUUGUCGGGUAAGUUCCGACCUGCACGAAUGGCGUAAUGAUGGCCAGGCUGUCUCCACCCGAGACUCAGUGAAAUUGAACUCGCUGUGAAGAUGCAGUGUACCCGCGGCAAGACGGAAAGACCCCGUGAACCUUUACUAUAGCUUGACACUGAACAUUGAGCCUUGAUGUGUAGGAUAGGUGGGAGGCUUUGAAGUGUGGACGCCAGUCUGCAUGGAGCCGACCUUGAAAUACCACCCUUUAAUGUUUGAUGUUCUAACGUUGACCCGUAAUCCGGGUUGCGGACAGUGUCUGGUGGGUAGUUUGACUGGGGCGGUCUCCUCCUAAAGAGUAACGGAGGAGCACGAAGGUUGGCUAAUCCUGGUCGGACAUCAGGAGGUUAGUGCAAUGGCAUAAGCCAGCUUGACUGCGAGCGUGACGGCGCGAGCAGGUGCGAAAGCAGGUCAUAGUGAUCCGGUGGUUCUGAAUGGAAGGGCCAUCGCUCAACGGAUAAAAGGUACUCCGGGGAUAACAGGCUGAUACCGCCCAAGAGUUCAUAUCGACGGCGGUGUUUGGCACCUCGAUGUCGGCUCAUCACAUCCUGGGGCUGAAGUAGGUCCCAAGGGUAUGGCUGUUCGCCAUUUAAAGUGGUACGCGAGCUGGGUUUAGAACGUCGUGAGACAGUUCGGUCCCUAUCUGCCGUGGGCGCUGGAGAACUGAGGGGGGCUGCUCCUAGUACGAGAGGACCGGAGUGGACGCAUCACUGGUGUUCGGGUUGUCAUGCCAAUGGCACUGCCCGGUAGCUAAAUGCGGAAGAGAUAAGUGCUGAAAGCAUCUAAGCACGAAACUUGCCCCGAGAUGAGUUCUCCCUGACUCCUUGAGAGUCCUGAAGGAACGUUGAAGACGACGACGUUGAUAGGCCGGGUGUGUAAGCGCAGCGAUGCGUUGAGCUAACCGGUACUAAUGAACCGUGAGG